CUACGGGUGGCUGCAGGUAGGAAUUUUCUUCAAUGCGCGCAAGCGUGAAAGAGUGAGCCAGAGUGCUUUUCAAUGAAAAGCUUUUGCUAAAUGUAAAAAGUUUGGCGAAUAAGGACUGGGUAAGACGGGUGCCAGCCGCCGCGGUAAUACCCGCGGUCCAAGUCGCAGCCAUCUUUAUUGGGUCUAAAACAUCCGUAGCUUGCUUGGUAAGUCUCUUGUGAAAUCCUGUCUCUUAAGGGCAGGGCGCGCAGGAGGUACUGCUAAGCUAGAGACCGGAAGACGUAAGAAGUACGUUUGAAGUAGCAGUAAAAUGCUCUAAUCUCAGACGGACUAUCAAGAGCGAAGGCAUCUUACGAGGACGGUUCUGACAGUCAGGGAUGAAGGCUAGGGUCGCGAAAGGGAUUAGAUACCCCGGUAGUC
rnacentral:rRNA from 1 species